AGAUGAGAAGGAUGGACGACUUGAGAGCGGCUGGCGCCCUUCUUUCAUUGGGCGAAGACGAGACCCCUCCAGGCUUUUGUCUCACUCCUGGGACAGAUGAGAGAGGAAGUCAACCUUAUUGCAUCUUCUCAGAAAUCAAGAAGGAGACGGACGUUUCAGGCUGAAGAAGAAGGAAUAAUUCUAAAUAUGUUUAAAGUUUUUCAUUUGCCUCAUAAAAUAAAUUCUGUUAUCGUAAA